rnacentral:rRNA from 1 species
UACGUAGGGCGCAAGCGUUGUCCGGAAUUAUUGGGCGUAAAGAGCUCGUAGGCGGUUUGUCGCGUCUGCUGUGAAAACCUAAGGCUCAACCUCGGGCCUGCAGUCGAUACGGGCAGACUAGAGUUCGGUAGGGGAGACUGGAAUUCCUGGUGUAGCGGUGGAAUGCGCAGAUAUCAGGAGGAACACCGGUGGCGAAGGCGGGUCUCUGGGCAGUAACUGACGCUGAGGAGCGAAAGCGUGGGGAGCGAACAGG